CCUACGGGUGGCAGCAGUGAGGAAUAUUGGUCAAUGGCCGGAAGGCUGAACCAGCCAUGCCGCGUGAAGGUCAGUGCCCUAUGGGCGUUAAACUUCUUUUGUGCGGGAGCAAUAAUGGUCACGUGUGGCCAGACGAGAGUACCGUACGAAUAAGCAUCGGCUAACUCCGUGCCAGCAGCCGCGGUAAUACGGGGGGUGCAAGCGUUAUCCGGAUUUAUUGGGUUUAAAGGGUGCGUAGGCUGUGAGGUAAGUCAGCGGGGAAAUGCCCCCGCUCAACGGGGUGAAGUGCCAUUGAUACUGCCUUGCUGGAGUGCGGAUGCCGUGGGAGGAAUUCGUGGUGUAGCGGUGAAAUGCUUAGAUAUCACGAAGAACUCCGAUUGCGAAGGCAGCCUACUAAACUGCCACUGACAUUGAUGCUCGAAAGUGUGGGUAUCAAACAGGAUUAGAUACCCCUGUAGUC
rnacentral:rRNA from 1 species